CCUACGGGAGGCAGCAGUGGGGAAUUUUGCGCAAUGCUCGUAAGAGUGACGCAGCGACGCCGCGUGAAUGACGAAGGCCUUCGGGUCGUAAAGUUCUUUCGACAGGGAAGAAAAUGCCUAUAAGUAACUGUGUAUGUAUUGACGGUACCUGUAUAAGCAGCCCCGGCUAACUCCGUGCCAGCAGCCGCGGUAAUACGGAGGGGGCGAGCGUUGUUCGGAGUGACUGGGCGUAAAGAGCACGUAGGCGGUGUUGUAAGUCAUUAGUCAAAGACUAGAGCUCAACUUUAGUAAGGCUAGUGAUACUAUAAUACUGGAGUAUCAGAGAGGAUUGCAGAAUUCCUGGUGUAGCGGUGAAAUGCGUAGAUAUCAGGAGGAAUACCGGUAGCGAAGGCGGCAAUCUGGCUGGAAACUGACGCUGAGGUGCGAAAGCGUGGGUAGCAAACAGGAUUAGAUACCCCAGUAGUC
rnacentral:rRNA from 1 species